rnacentral:tRNA from 1 species
GGUGCUGUGGCUUAGUUGGUCAAAGCACCCGUCUAGAAAACAGGAGAUCCUGGGUUCAAAUCCCAGCAGUGCCU